GAUGAAGAACGCAGCGAAAUGCGAUAAGUAAUGUGAAUUGCAGAAUUCAGUGAAUCAUCGAAUCUUUGAACGCACAUUGCGCCCUCUGGUAUUCCGGGGGGCAUGCCUGUUCGAGCGUCAUUACAACCCUCAAGCUUUGCUUGGUAUUGGACAUUGCCAGUUUCUGGCAGGUCUUAAAAUCAGCGGCGGUGCCAUUUGGCUUCAAGCGUAGUAAUUCUUCUCGCUUUGGAGAUCCAAGUGGUUACUUGCCAAUAACCCCCAAUUUUUUCAGGUUGACCUCGGAUCAGGUAGGGAUACCCGCUGAACUUAAGCAUAUCAAUAAGCGGAGGA
rnacentral:misc_RNA from 1 species